rnacentral:misc_RNA from 1 species
UGGGAACAAGGUUAUGGCAGUGGUAGAUUCAAGCCUUGAAGCCAAGGGAGCUCUUCAAUGGGCACUGUCUCACACUGUUCAAAGCCAAGAUACCAUUGUUCUUUUGUAUAUUAGCAAGCUAUCCAAUUCCAAACAAGGUCCUGAGUGCAAGUUGAAGGUUAAAAGGGCUUGCGAACUUCUUCAUUCUAUGAAAAAUAUGUGUCAAAGGAAAAGACCAGGGGUGCAAGUAGAGGUAGCUAUACGUCCAGGGAAAGAAAAGGGNNNNNNNNNNNNAGUGGAAGAAGCAAAGCAACAAAGGGUGUCGUUGCUUGUCUUAGGGCAGAGAAAACGGUCG